UAAGUAAGCGGAGGACAAGAAACUAAAUAGGAUUCCCUUAGUAAUGGCGAAUGAACAGGGAUGAGCUCAACUUGAUAAUUGUGGCUUCUGGCUUUGAAUUGUAAUCUCAAGAUGUAGUGCCAAGGAGGGCGUAGGUGUAAGCCUCUUGGAAAAGAGAAUCAUUGAGGGUGAGAAUCCUGUUUGUCACCUGCAGUCCCCCCUGUACGGCCUACCUUCUAAGAGUCACGUUCCUCGGGAUUGGAGCGCAAACUGGGUGGUAAAUUUCAUCUCAAGCUAAAUAUGGGUUCGAAACCGAUAGCAAACAAGUACCAUGAGGGAAAGAUGAAAAGGACUUUGAAAAGAGAGUUAAAAGUGCCUGAACUUGCUGAAAGGAAAGCGGAUGGAACCAGUGUUGCUCGGUGAGAUUGUUGCGUGCUAUGGUGAUGGCCUGCUGCAUCAGCGCAAGCGUUGCUGUGGGUUUUGAUCUUGUUGCGCGUGAUGCUUCUUGCCUUGUGUGUCAUCGUCGGUUCGGUGGUGAGGACAACCCUUGGGACAUGGUAACUCGCCUCUGGGUGUGUGAAUGUGCCUUGUGGAACUCACCUUCGAACUGCAAACCGAAUGUGCGGUUGCGCUGCCUUUGCCGUGUGUCGCUGCCUCUCGGCGGCUGGCGUGCGCGCGAGGCACCUUCUGCACACAGCUAUGGUGACUAAAUGGUUCUAUUCGACCCG
rnacentral:rRNA from 1 species